ACACAUGCAAGUCGAGGGGCAGCGGGAUUGAAGCUUGCUUCAAUUGCCGGCGACCGGCGCACGGGUGAGUAACGCGUAUCCAACCUUCCGUACACUCAGGGAUAGCCUUUCGAAAGAAAGAUUAAUACCUGAUGGUAUGAUGAGAUUGCAUGAUAGCAUCAUUAAAGAUUCAUCGGUGUACGAUGGGGAUGCGUUCCAUUAGGUAGUAGGCGGGGUAACGGCCCACCUAGCCUACGAUGGAUAGGGGUUCUGAGAGGAAGGUCCCCCACAUUGGAACUGAGACACGGUCCAAACUCCUACGGGAGGCAGCAGUGAGGAAUAUUGGUCAAUGGACGAGAGUCUGAACCAGCCAAGUAGCGUGAAGGAUGAAGGUCCUACGGAUUGUAAACUUCUUUUAUAAGGGAAUAAAACCUCCCACGUGUGGGAGCUUGUAUGUACCUUAUGAAUAAGCAUCGGCUAACUCCGUGCCAGCAGCCGCGGUAAUACGGAGGAUGCGAGCGUUAUCCGGAUUUAUUGGGUUUAAAGGGAGCGCAGACGGGUCGUUAAGUCAGCUGUGAAAGUUUGGGGCUCAACCUUAAAAUUGCAGUUGAUACUGGCGUCCUUGAGUGCGGUUGAGGUGUGCGGAAUUCG
rnacentral:rRNA from 1 species